CAAGAUAUUUAAUCCACAUUUUAAAUAUGAAUAUUCCCAUAAAUAAGAUUCAAGUGUUGGAUAGAAUACUACACACUUAGAUAUACAAUACAAAGUAAGGAAAUUAAGAAAUAAACAUAAAUGGGUAAGAAAUUCUCAACCACAAGCUACAAAUCUUCAAGAUCAAAGUGUGUGUGCAAAACCCUAGCUUCCAACCUUGUUCUCUCUAGUCUUUAGAACUGAAAAUAUGCCAAAGAUAUUUUACAAAUGAACUGGUUUGGGUAUUAAAGGGUUUGAGGCCAAAAAAUGUGAAAUUCCAAAAUUGUCCAGGUCUGAUGCUCGAUUUUCGCAUUUGCGAACAUAAGUUCGCAAUUGCGAACUAUGGUUAUACUAUUUGACUUCACAUUUGUGAUAAGAACUUCGCAUUUGCGAAGGUUGACUACUUAGUUGACUUUCACAUUUGCGAGGUAUUCUUCGCAUUUGCGAAGACUGCCUGAUUGCCCUUUCUUCUCAAUUGCGAGAAACUUCUCGCGAUUUCCAUCAUUGAUAACUUCGCAAUUCCCAGGUAUAUGUCGCAUUUGCUACAACUGAGGCCCCUUUCCAGAUUUUCUUCUUUUUAACUUCUUUUUGACUCGUUUCACUUUGUUCCUUCAAGAUCACUUCUAAAUCACAUAGAACCUGUAAUAUAGAAGUAAAUGGCAUUAAACACAUAAUUUUAUCACUCAAACAUAGCAAAAAUGUAGGCUUAAAGACAAGAUAAGUUGGUAAAAUACCCAAAAUAACCACUCGUAUACUGACAUAGGCCGGUAAGGCCAUAUAAUCUUUUAUAUACAUGACAUCUGUCUACAAGCCUCUAAGAAUACAUAAUUUUCAUAGAGGUCGGGACAAAAUCCCUCCAUACCAAACAAUACACAUCUAAAUCAUACUAACCAAACAUGCAACUCCGAAGCAAAUGGAGCGCAUCAACAUCUUCCGCUGAGCAGAUAGCCUACUUGGAGGGCUCUCGACCUAUCUAUCGGGACUUGCGGGCAUGAAACGCAGUGUCCCCAGGCAAAAGGGACAUCAGUACAAAUAAUGUACCGAGUAUGUAAGGAAUAAAAAUAAGUAAAUAAUAGACAUGCGAAAAACAUGGAGUAAAAGACUCGACAUGUACAUUUGCAUAGCUCAAUGAAUCAUUUCAUUUUUAUAAUGUCAUGCAUAUGCGUAUAAAUGUCAUACCAUGCAUGGGUAUAUGUGUUCAUAGCAUCAUCAACCCUCUGAGGGCAUCCCAUUAUAUCAUCUCGGCCACUGUGGGCGAAAUCAUCAAAGUAUAUCAGCUGAUCAGGUGGUGCUGCGUAUAUAAUACCAUAACCUUUCCCAUAUCCCAUAUACAUAUAUAUACAUAUAAAUACGCAUAUAUAACGCCAUCUGGUCAUGGGUUAGUGUGCAUGUAUAAAUGCAUGAAAUGCAAAUGAAAUACGUUAAUAAAAAAUAUCUCGGAACGUCAUAAGACCAUUAUGCCUCUGAUUAAUACCAUGAAAUAAACUCCAACUUACGUAUUUUUGAGACCCAUGAACAGAUGAUAAAAUAAUAUGAUACAUGGGGAAUCAAGAACAUAAGCAUCUCUAGUAUUUCUAUGAAUAGAGUUAUUUAUGAAAGUUGUGCAUUUGUUCGUUUCGUUCGUGUCGUUUAGAUCAUGCCAAAAAAAAAGAAGGGAUAACCUUAACAUACCUGAACCGAUCUUUUUGACAAUCCUUCCAAAACAUGCCAAUCGCGAUGAAACACGUAACGACAGGUCAGAGUGGGAGAAAAUCCGUAUGAUAUUCUUGAUAUCAUAGCACGUUAUUUCUUAUCCGACUAAUAUUCACUUCACAAUCUACAUCAUCAAAAAAUUCUCUCGGCCUUCUUCUAUCAUGUCUUCAAAAUUUCUCCAAGUUAUAUCAUUAAUAAAGAAGGCAAACAAAGGUAAACAAAGGACUUAUUAUGCAUUUUGGUGUUAUGCCCAGAAUAAAG
rnacentral:lncRNA from 1 species